CUCCAGACUCCUACGGGAGGCAGCAGUGAGGAAUAUUGGUCAAUGGGCGGGAGCCUGAACCAGCCAAGCCGCGUGAAGGAAGAAGGCGCCAGGCGUCGUAAACUUCUUUUGUCGGGGAACAAAGGGCGCCACGUGUGGCGUUGUGAGUGUACCCGAAGAAAAAGCAUCGGCUAACUCCGUGCCAGCAGCCGCGGUAAUACGUAGGGGGCAAGCGUUAUCCGGAUUUACUGGGUGUAAAGGGAGCGUAGACGGCUGCGCAAGUCAGAAGUGAAAGCCCGGGGCUCAACCGCGGGACUGCUUUUGAAACUGUGUAGCUAGAGUGCAGGAGAGGUAAGUGGAAUUCCUAGUGUAGCGGUGAAAUGCGUAGAUAUUAGGAGGAACACCGGUGGCGAAGGCGGCUUACUGGACUGUAACUGACGUUGAGGCUCGAAAGCGUGGGGAGCAAACAGGAUUAGAUACCCUAGUAGG
rnacentral:rRNA from 1 species